UACGUAGGGUGCAAGCGUUGUCCGGAAUUAUUGGGCGUAAAGAGCUCGUAGGCGGUUUGUUGCGUCGGCUGUGAAAUCCCGAGGCUCAACCUCGGGUCUGCAGUCGAUACGAGCAAACUAGAGUGUUGCAGGGGAGACUGGAAUUCCUGGUGUAGCGGUGAAAUGCGUAGAUAUCUGGAGGAACACCGGUGGCGAAGGCGGCAUCCUGGACCGGUAUUGACGCUGAUGCGCGAAAAGCCAGGGGAGCAAACGGG
rnacentral:rRNA from 1 species